rnacentral:misc_RNA from 1 species
UCCGGUUUGUCACCGGCAGUCUCCUUAGAGUGCCCACCUUAACGUGCUGGUAACUAACAACAGGGGUUGCGCUCGUUAUAGGACUUAACCUGACACCUCACGGCACGAGCUGACGACAACCAUGCAGCACCUUGUAAAUUGUCUUGCGAAAGUCCUGUUUCCAAAACGGUCAAUCUACAUUUAAGCCUUGGUAAGGUUCCUCGCGUAUCAUCGAAUUAAACCACAUGCUCCACCGCUUGUGCGGGCCCCCGUCAAUUCCUUUGAGUUUCAGGCUUGCGCCCGUACUCCCCAGGUGGGAUACUUAUCACUUUCGCUUAGCCACUGAACUUGCGCCCAACAGCUAGUAUCCAUCGUUUACGGCGUGGACUAC